GCCGCCGCUGCUCCAUCGAUUCCCAGCGCAGCGGGGGUCAGCCCGUCGUCUCUCCUCCUCUUCCUAUCUCCUCUCACUUCUCCACCGAUCCCCACCUCUGCAACCUCUAUCCAUGCCUCAGGAGAGCUUGUCCGCCCCCAUCCAGCUAGGUUGCAGAGAUUGGGAAAGACGGUGAGGGAUUGUGGCCAUUGGCGCUGGACCUCCUGGCGGCAUCACCGACGGGCCAGAGGCCUCCGAGGCUCCGACCGAUGUGGAGGAGAAUACCACCAAUGCGGCGGGGGUAAACCCUAGCGCGACAGAACAAUGUGCAGAAGUGUUUGUGGUGAUGGGAUUAAUAAUGCUAUUUGAGUAUCAACAAUGAAUGUUGAUGAAACUCCACUGUAUAUUCUUGAAAUUAAGGGUUAUGUUCAACAAUUCUGAUCACAGAAGAAGAAGAAAUAGCGGAAUGCCUUUUUUCUGCCCCUGAUUGGUGACAUGACUCGCUGUUCUGACAAACCAAGGGCCUCUUCAUGAAUUAAACUGUUAUCCGUAAUCCGAGGAAGCUAACUAAAAUGCUUGUAGCUCUCCUCAUGUAGCCUGAUGUGGUCUUUUUUCCUUCUUCAGCUCUACAUGUUUGUGAGAUACCUUUCUAGCUCACUUUAUUUGUGAUAAAGUUUCCCGUGAUUGCAGGGUCAUCCUCUAUUAAGAGGUUAAAUGGAAGUAGGAUGCACUACUUGGAAUCUUGGACACACUCUAGAAGAUAAGAAGGAAUGCCCCAUGUUAAUUAAAAAUAGGAAAGACGUGGGAGAUCAAGGAGGCUAAUGUUGUGGAGGCUCGCCUGCUAUGGCCAAAGUGUGCCCCUCUUCGCACCCGAUUGUUUAUGAUUCAGGUACAUCUGAUUGUACCCUCUAAUUAUUUUGGUUCAGGUUUAAUUUCGAGGAAGAAGACGAAGUUUGAUGUUCCAGGUUCCAUGUGAUCAUGUGAAUACCUGAAAACCAAACAGAAGCUGAUAUUGGGUUGUAAUUUCUAGGUCUACUCAUGUUGAUAUCCGCUCCUGCUUUUCUUUGAUGAGUUCUUUAUGCUUCAUGUCCUUUGUUGGAAAUGCAAUGCAAUGCUUCGCUGGUUAAUGUUGAAUGCAGUCCUACCAUAGCACACAUGAUUUUAUUGUCAUUACCAUAGUUUUGCUCGCAGCUAAGAGUUUCCAGCCUUUAGGUACAUAUAUGUAUGGCCAUAUAGUUGUUCAAGUAUUCUUUAAUUGAAUACGUGUGCUACCUCUUUUGUAGUGUACUUACUGGUUAUCCUUUGUUGAUGUUUUCGCUCAAUAGAAACAGAGAAGCUUUUAUCCUCACUGCUCCCAACCCUCUGUGAGAUGUUCUUUUCAUCUAAUAUUUCUAUAUGGUUAUGUGCAUGUUAAUAGGUUCUUCUGCAGCUCCUCUUCCUCUACUGUCCGUUGUUGCGCCUGAUGCACUCUGCUCCUACAUGAACUGGAGGUUGGUCUAUGGUGCCGCCCCCCGUGCUGCCACCAUUUCUCGACACCCCACAAGCUUGAUCCCGCCGUUUUGAAGCUACUUGUCCACUGGAUCCUUCACCGGGUGUGACCUUUAGCAAGGUCUGUGUUGCAGGAAGUCUUGUGGCUGGUGCCUGGUGGAUAGGAACACGUGAUUGGAUGUUUGCCAAGGAUCUUUCCAUGAGCAUUUGACCAGGUAAUUUAUUGCUACUACAAAAAGUAUAUGAAAUAAUCAUAGAACUGGAGGAAUAUGAGACAGUAUAUAUGAAAUAGUCAUAGAACUGCAGUAGUUAAAUGUUUGCACCAAUCCUUCCUUUGGAAUUUAAAGAGAUAUCAAGUUUAGGUCAUAUCAAGGGAUUGGUUUGUUGCUCAUUUUUCCAUAUCUUAGGUGUGUAUUGAUCUCCUAUCAAUUCUCAGUGUUACAAACUGACGCGUAGUAGUGUUGUUAGUAAAUAUACUCUUCCUUAGUACAAGUAAUCAUGUCUUUGUUAAAUUGGCUGCCCCAAAUAAAAUACUUAAAUACAAAGUAAUAGUGUCAGGAUGAAAUUUGUUUCCCCUGAACCUCUUGAUUUUUUCUAUUUUGCGGAGCUAUUAAUUGUAUUGGACCACAUGAGAAUUUCUGAUGUGGAUACAAUUCCUUAAUUUAAUGGCCUGUGGUAAGUGGGUAUAUUCACAAAUGAGCUUGCCAUGGACCAGCUAUGCCAUAACAGGUUGUGCAGCGUAAGUUGUUGCUGAUGUUCGGUGAGCCAGGGUCUUUCUGCACUGUCAAUACAGAAACAUGAGCUUCUGUUCAAUUAUAUUUGAGUGCUCUUACUUCUUGCUGAUGACUUCAUAUAUGAGCCUACAGCUAUACUGCGAACUUGAAACUGACCCGCUGGGAUGCAAGCCUGUCACCAGGUAAUGACUCUCCCAGGCCCCUUCAAGUUCCCAUUAGAAGUUGCAAAGAGAAGACAAUGAAAACUCCGGGAAUCAUCUCAAGGGUCUCCAUUUGAUAUGGCUACGAUAAGAAAGGUGGUUCUAAGAUAUGGGGACCAGAAGCGAAUUGACACCGCCAAAGUGUGUGUCGUGUCCCUGGCUCAGAUUUUGCAACACACUGGAGAAAACGAGGAAGGCUGAUGCUCUGUUUUUUGUUUUCCAUUGUCGCUUAGGAAUUAGUAUAGAGGGGAACCAUAUUUACCUAUCAUAAAAUAUUAUUUUGAUGCUUCCUCUUCGUUUUGCAUCUUUUUGUAAGUUUGAUCAUAAGCUGGGUUACAUCAAUACGUUAGCCUAUCAUGCACUGUUUAACCUAACCUGAUACAGACUGAUUUUGUAUUACACUGCAAAUCUUGUGACUUUGAACAAAAGAAGCAUACUC